rnacentral:lncRNA from 1 species
AGCAAUAUUCCGCCAGCUUCAUUUCGUGCAGUGAGUGGAACAAGAGUCAGAACACCAGGGCGGCUGAGCCUGUCGAUCAAGCCUCCACGUAAUGACAGAUGUACUUGAGUCCCACAGUCAUAAGGAGGAUGAAGUCUUCUCCUGGCUGGACCUGGACUGCAGUCACACUGUAAGAGCUCCUCCUUCUACACCUCUGCCAGUGGGCGUUCGGUCAGAGACAAGCUAUGGCACCGGCUCCCGGACGCACGGGAGGACUCCUACCAGGGACAGAGUCCGCACAG